CUUGAACGCUACAUGGAAGAAACUCCGGUGUGCUCGAACCUAUAUCAACACCCCACUGAUUGUUGUCGUCUUCGCUGCUGUACAGUGAGUGUGGAAUUGGCGCUGCUCCGAUGAUCGCAGACCCUGUCAUCACCCAUAGUCGAUGUCAGCCACCGUCAACUUCGUCUCCUGCUACAACUAACCCUGAUCAAUGCUGCUGCCGGUUACCGUUCACAUUCCCAGUGAUCCAGGCCUCCAGUCAUCAAACCCUUUGAUCAUGAUAUAGCCCUUGAUGUUGUACACACCUCUGUAAAUCAGUUUGGUCAUAGGACCAGCGAUACCGGAGUUAUUGAUAUCAUCAUGCUUGCUGCUCCUGCAUCCUUGCAGCAGCAUUGUUUCCGAUUGGCAUGCAUGUUCCAUAAGAUCCUUUCCUCCAAUCAUCAAAUCCUUUGAAAAUGAUAUUCGUCAUGAAGUUGAACAUGUCCUUGCCAAAUUUCAUCACCAUAGAGCCUAACACAAAAGAGUUAUAAAUGUUCUUGUGCAUGAUGUCCCUGCUGCCCCGCAUUAGCAUUCCUGUUGGUUGGCACUAUCGCUCCAGUGACCGUGUCCUUCAACCAUAGUGUGUUUUGUACCUUUGCACACACCCCUGAGAAAUUCCAUGGUAAUAGAAUUCAAGAUGAAAGAGAUAUCAUUGUCUUUU